rnacentral:rRNA from 1 species
AGAGCGAACGCUGGCGGCAGGCCUAACACAUGCAAGUCGAGCGCGUGUAGCAAUACACGAGCGGCAGACGGGAGAGUAACACGUGGGAACGCGCCCUUCGGUUCGGAAUAACUCAGGGAAACUUGAGCUAAUACCGGAUACGCCCUUACGGGGAAAGAUUUAUUGCCGAAGGAACGGCCCGCGUCCGAUUAGCUAGUUGGUGAGGUAACGGCUCACCAAGGCGACGAUCGGUAGCUGGUCUGAGAGGAUGACCAGCCUCACUGGGACUGAGACACGGCCCAGACUCCUACGGGAGGCAGCAGUGGGGAAUAUUGGACAAUGGGCGCAAGCCUGAUCCAGCCAUGCCGCGUGGAUGAUGAAGGCCUUAGAGUUGUAAAGUCCUUUUAACGGGGAAGAUAAUGACGGUACCCGUAGAAUAAGCCCCGGCUAACUUCGUGCCAGCAGCCGC